rnacentral:rRNA from 1 species
AGGACGACGCUGGCGGUGUGCUUAACACAUGCAAGUGGUGCGACGAACCAGAGCUUGCUCUGGGGCAAAGCCGCGAACGGGUGAGUAACACGUGGGUAAUCUACCCCGAUGACCGGGACAACCCGAGGAAACUCGGGCUAAUACCGGAUGUGGUACGGAGACAUAAGUCUCUUUACUAAAGGUAGCUUCGGCUUCCGCAUUGGGAGGGGCCCGCGGCCCAUUAGCUAGUUGGUGGGGUCAAGGCCUACCAAGGCAACGAUGGGUAGCUGGUCUGAGAGGACGAUCAGCCACACUGGGACUGAGACACGGCCCAGACUCCUACGGGAGGCAGCAGUGGGGAAUCUUGCGCAAUGCGCGAAAGCGUGAUGCAGCAACACCGCGUGAGGGAAGACGGCCUUAGGGUUGUAAACCUCUUUCAGAUGGGACGAAGGUGAUGCGGUGAAUAGCCGAUGUCAUUGACGGUACCGUCAGAAGAAGCUCCGGCUAACUACGUG